AUUGAACGCUGGCGGCAUGCCUUACACAUGCAAGUCGAACGGCAGCACAGGAGAGCUUGCUCUCUGGGUGGCGAGUGGCGGACGGGUGAGGAAUACAUCGGAAUCUACUUUUUCGUGGGGGCUAACGUAGGGAAACUUACGCUAAUACCGCAUACGACCUUCGGGUGAAAGCAGGGGUACUUCGGACCUUGCGCGAUUGAAUGAGCCGAUGUCGGAUUAGCUAGUUGGCGGGGUAAAGGCCCACCAAGGCGACGAUCCGUAGCUGGUCUGAGAGGAUGAUCAGCCACACUGGAACUGAGACACGGUCCAGACUCCUACGGGAGGCAGCAGUGGGGAAUAUUGAACAAUGGGCGCAAGCCUGAUCCAGCCAUACCGCGUGGGUGAAGAAGGCCUUCGGGUUGUAAAGCCCUUUUGUUGGGAAAGAAAUCCAGCUGGUUAAUACCCGGUUGGGAUGACGGUACCCAAAGAAUAAGCACCGGCUACUACGUGCCAGCCGCCGCCGUAA
rnacentral:rRNA from 1 species